UCAAAUAUGUGGACUGCUGCAAGCCCGGAGACAUGAUGUCUCUACCGAGGAAACGACUGGAUGCCAAAGAUCAACUGCACACAAUGACGAGGCUAUGUCACAGAUAACACAUCACUGUGGGCUCAGGGAUAAAAGUGGGGUACUGUAAUCCCGCUUUGGCACUGUGCCCCCUGGGGUGGAAGUCUUUUGCAGUAGGGGAAUGACUGGGGAAGUCAUGGCAAAACGGCUGCAUUGAACCCUUUGAAGAUGGACUGUAGAGUAGCCUGGAUUCCUCGCAUGAAAGGCCCGCAACGAAUCAGCUUGUGGCCAAGAGGCAUGCGAUUGUUAUGUGUCCCGACCAUACUCUCCAGCGGUUUUCUGCCUGCCUGUUCCAUAUAUACCCUGACUUUGUUUUUGGAUCUGCCUUUUGUUUUGUUUUGUUUCUGGACUAUCUGUUAUCAACUCUUGGAUUUCGACUCUUGGAUUGUGUUUGGUACCGUUGCCUGUUUGGACUGCCUUCCUGUGCUUGGACUUCUGCCUGCUUACUUGACUACGAACUUGAUUACCGUCAUUGUUCCUGUUUGCCGGUAUUCAACCACUGCCUGUUUGAUCUACGUUCCGUCUAAUAAAGACAUCUGUUUUGCCGAGUUCUGGGUUGCGAUUGGUUCCCACACCCGGUAAAUAUACAUCAUCCAGUGUUAAUUCAACUCAAAUAGAGAACAUAUGCGUCCAUGUGAGUCCAAUAGGGACCAUACUGUAUGUACUCCAUGACUGGACAUUUCACUGUAUGGAAAAAUAGAGUAUGGAUUUCUAAUGAAUGUCUCUCUGUUCUCUGUCAUCCGCCCAUCAGAGUGACCUCUGUGUGACAUCAUGUCUAAGCCUGUCAUAUCGUUUACAGUCCAGAGUGACUCCAUGAGAGGAAA